CCGGCAUCUCCGUUAGCUUUCGUCCAUACCAUGUAGAAUCUUGCAAAUGAUUUUGUCUGCAUUCCAUCGGUGGCCUUCAUCAACAAAGGAAUCAAGCUCGUAACGUUUCUUCCGAUUGGAAAAAGAGCAUGACCGUCUGUAGACACCAUGCCAGCGGAAAGGUAUCGAAACAAAAUUCCAUAAAUCUCAAGAGGCCAAGUGCAAUUUAUUACAAGAAAGUUUGACCUACGCAUAUGGACAACACAAAAGUCAUCCAGAAACACACCCUGAAGUCAGCUACUUGAUAGAGAUAUCAAGUAAAUGAAAACUACCAUUUGGUGACACACAAGCAAAAAUCAAAUCAUUACCUGUGAAUACAAGAAGGUUCCAAGGAUGGCGAUGGCAGCUCCAAGAGCAUUGACAGGCUGGACAGGCGUAUGGAAGAUAAUGAUGGAUGACACUAUAACAGAUAUACGUUUCAUAGUGUUUCCAACGCUAAAUGUCAAAGGAGAGAUCUCAUCCAGUGACAUGUAAGACACCUGAUUAUAGAGGUGAUAGAAUACACUCUGAGCCGCCAUCCACCUAUAGAA